AUUGAACGCUGGCGGCAGGCCUAACACAUGCAAGUCGAACGAGUGGCGGACGGGUGAGUAAUGUAUGGGGAACUGCCUGAUAGAGGGGGAUAACUACUGGAAACGGUAGCUAAUACCGCAUACUAUCGGCUGUGCGCAGAUGGGAUUAGCUAGUAGGUGGGUGAAAGGCUCACCUAGGCGACGAUCUCUAGCUGGUCUGAGAGGAUGAUCGGCCCACCUGGGACUGAGACACGGCCCGGACUCCUACGGGAGGCAGCAGUGGGGAAUAUUGCACAAUGGGCGCAAGCCUGAUGCAGCCAUGCCGGGGGGAUGAAGAAGGCCUUAGGGUGGUAAAGUACUUUCAGCGGGGAGGCGUUACCCGCAGAAGAAGCACCGGCUAACUCCGUGCCAGCAGCCGCGGUAAUUC
rnacentral:rRNA from 1 species